rnacentral:rRNA from 1 species
GGGUUGUGAGGUUAAGCGACUAAGCGUACACGGUGGAUGCCCUGGCAGUCAGAGGCGAUGAAGGACGUGCUAAUCUGCGAUAAGCGUCGGUAAGGUGAUAUGAACCGUUAUAACCGGCGAUUUCCGAAUGGGGAAACCCAGUGUGUUUCGACACACUAUCAUUAACUGAAUCCAUAGGUUAAUGAGGCGAACCGGGGGAACUGAAACAUCUAAGUACCCCGAGGAAAAGAAAUCAACCGAGAUUCCCCCAGUAGCGGCGAGCGAACGGGGAGGAGCCCAGAGCCUGAAUCAGUGUGUGUGUUAGUGGAAGCGUCUGGAAAGGCGCGCGAUACAGGGUGACAGCCCCGUACACAAAAAUGCACAUACUGUGAGCUCGAUGAGUAGGGCGGGACACGUGGUAUCCUGUCUGAAUAUGGGGGGACCAUCCUCCAAGGCUAAAUACUCCUGACUGACCGAUAGUGAACCAGUACCGUGAGGGAAAGGCGAAAAGAACCCCGGCGAGGGGAGUGAAAAAGAACCUGAAACCGUGUACGUACAAGCAGUGGGAGCCUCUUUAUGGGGUGACUGCGUACCUUUUGUAUAAUGGGUCAGCGACUUAUAUUCUGUAGCAAGGUUAACCGAAUAGGGGAGCCGAAGGGAAACCGAGUCUUAACUGGGCGUUAAGUUGCAGGGUAUAGACCCGAAACCCGGUGAUCUAGCCAUGGGCAGGUUGAAGGUUGGGUAACACUAACUGGAGGACCGAACCGACUAAUGUUGAAAAAUUAGCGGAUGACUUGUGGCUGGGGGUGAAAGGCCAAUCAAACCGGGAGAUAGCUGGUUCUCCCCGAAAGCUAUUUAGGUAGCGCCUCGUGAAUUCAUCUCCGGGGGUAGAGCACUGUUUCGGCAAGGGGGUCAUCCCGACUUACCAACCCGAUGCAAACUGCGAAUACCGGAGAAUGUUAUCACGGGAGACACACGGCGGGUGCUAACGUCCGUCGUGAAGAGGGAAACAACCCAGACCGCCAGCUAAGGUCCCAAAGUCAUGGUUAAGUGGGAAACGAUGUGGGAAGGCCCAGACAGCCAGGAUGUUGGCUUAGAAGCAGCCAUCAUUUAAAGAAAGCGUAAUAGCUCACUGGUCGAGUCGGCCUGCGCGGAAGAUGUAACGGGGCUAAACCAUGCACCGAAGCUGCGGCAGCGACACUAUGUGUUGUUGGGUAGGGGAGCGUUCUGUAAGCCUGCGAAGGUGUACUGUGAGGUAUGCUGGAGGUAUCAGAAGUGCGAAUGCUGACAUAAGUAACGAUAAAGCGGGUGAAAAGCCCGCUCGCCGGAAGACCAAGGGUUCCUGUCCAACGUUAAUCGGGGCAGGGUGAGUCGACCCCUAAGGCGAGGCCGAAAGGCGUAGUCGAUGGGAAACAGGUUAAUAUUCCUGUACUUGGUGUUACUGCGAAGGGGGGACGGAGAAGGCUAUGUUGGCCGGGCGACGGUUGUCCCGGUUUAAGCGUGUAGGCUGGUUUUCCAGGCAAAUCCGGAAAAUCAAGGCUGAGGCGUGAUGACGAGGCACUACGGUGCUGAAGCAACAAAUGCCCUGCUUCCAGGAAAAGCCUCUAAGCAUCAGGUAACAUCAAAUCGUACCCCAAACCGACACAGGUGGUCAGGUAGAGAAUACCAAGGCGCUUGAGAGAACUCGGGUGAAGGAACUAGGCAAAAUGGUGCCGUAACUUCGGGAGAAGGCACGCUGAUAUGUAGGUGAAGUCCCUCGCGGAUGGAGCUGAAAUCAGUCGAAGAUACCAGCUGGCUGCAACUGUUUAUUAAAAACACAGCACUGUGCAAACACGAAAGUGGACGUAUACGGUGUGACGCCUGCCCGGUGCCGGAAGGUUAAUUGAUGGGGUUAGCGCAAGCGAAGCUCUUGAUCGAAGCCCCGGUAAACGGCGGCCGUAACUAUAACGGUCCUAAGGUAGCGAAAUUCCUUGUCGGGUAAGUUCCGACCUGCACGAAUGGCGUAAUGAUGGCCAGGCUGUCUCCACCCGAGACUCAGUGAAAUUGAACUCGCUGUGAAGAUGCAGUGUACCCGCGGCAAGACGGAAAGACCCCGUGAACCUUUACUAUAGCUUGACACUGAACAUUGAGCCUUGAUGUGUAGGAUAGGUGGGAGGCUUUGAAGUGUGGACGCCAGUCUGCAUGGAGCCGACCUUGAAAUACCACCCUUUAAUGUUUGAUGUUCUAACGUUGGCCCGUAAUCCGGGUUGCGGACAGUGUCUGGUGGGUAGUUUGACUGGGGCGGUCUCCUCCUAAAGAGUAACGGAGGAGCACGAAGGUUGGCUAAUCCUGGUCGGACAUCAGGAGGUUAGUGCAAUGGCAUAAGCCAGCUUGACUGCGAGCGUGACGGCGCGAGCAGGUGCGAAAGCAGGUCAUAGUGAUCCGGUGGUUCUGAAUGGAAGGGCCAUCGCUCAACGGAUAAAAGGUACUCCGGGGAUAACAGGCUGAUACCGCCCAAGAGUUCAUAUCGACGGCGGUGUUUGGCACCUCGAUGUCGGCUCAUCACAUCCUGGGGCUGAAGUAGGUCCCAAGGGUAUGGCUGUUCGCCAUUUAAAGUGGUACGCGAGCUGGGUUUAGAACGUCGUGAGACAGUUCGGUCCCUAUCUGCCGUGGGCGCUGGAGAACUGAGGGGGGCUGCUCCUAGUACGAGAGGACCGGAGUGGACGCAUCACUGGUGUUCGGGUUGUCAUGCCAAUGGCACUGCCCGGUAGCUAAAUGCGGAAGAGAUAAGUGCUGAAAGCAUCUAAGCACGAAACUUGCCCCGAGAUGAGUUCUCCCUGACUCC